rnacentral:rRNA from 2 species
CAGUCGAACGAACUCUGGUAUUGAUUGGUGCUUGCAUCAUGAUUUACAUUUGAGUGAGUGGCGAACUGGUGAGUAACACGUGGGAAACCUGCCCAGAAGCGGGGGAUAACACCUGGAAACAGAUGCUAAUACCGCAUAACAACUUGGACCGCAUGGUCCGAGUUUGAAAGAUGGCUUCGGCUAUCACUUUUGGAUGGUCCCGCGGCGUAUUAGCUAGAUGGUGGGGUAACGGCUCACCAUGGCAAUGAUACGUAGCCGACCUGAGAGGGUAAUCGGCCACAUUGGGACUGAGACACGGCCCAAACUCCUACGGGAGGCAGCAGUAGGGAAUCUUCCACAAUGGACGAAAGUCUGAUGGAGCAACGCCGCGUGAGUGAAGAAGGGUUUCGGCUCGUAAAACUCUGUUGUUAAAGAAGAACAUAUCUGAGAGUAACUGUUCAGGUAUUGACGGUAUUUAACCAGAAAGCCACGGCUAACUACGUGCCAGCAGCCGCGGUAAUACGUAGGUGGCAAGCGUUGUCCGGAUUUAUUGGGCGUAAAGCGAGCGCAGGCGGUUUUUUAAGUCUGAUGUGAAAGCCUUCGGCUCAACCGAAGAAGUGCAUCGGAAACUGGGAAACUUGAGUGCAGAAGAGGACAGUGGAACUCCAUGUGUAGCGGUGAAAUGCGUAGAUAUAUGGAAGAACACCAGUGGCGAAGGCGGCUGUCUGGUCUGUAACUGACGCUGAGGCUCGAAAGUAUGGGUAGCAAACAGGAUUAGAUACCCUGGUAGUCCAUACCGUAAACGAUGAAUGCUAAGUGUUGGAGGGUUUCCGCCCUUCAGUGCUGCAGCUAACGCAUUAAGCAUUCCGCCUGGGGAGUACGGCCGCAAGGCUGAAACUCAAAGGAAUUGACGGGGGCCCGCACAAGCGGUGGAGCAUGUGGUUUAAUUCGAAGCUACGCGAAGAACCUUACCAGGUCUUGACAUACUAUGCAAAUCUAAGAGAUUAGACGUUCCCUUCGGGGACAUGGAUACAGGUGGUGCAUGGUUGUCGUCAGCUCGUGUCGUGAGAUGUUGGGUUAAGUCCCGCAACGAGCGCAACCCUUAUUAUCAGUUGCCAGCAUUAAGUUGGGCACUCUGGUGAGACUGCCGGUGACAAACCGGAGGAAGGUGGGGAUGACGUCAAAUCAUCAUGCCCCUUAUGACCUGGGCUACACACGUGCUACAAUGGAUGGUACAACGAGUUGCGAACUCGCGAGAGUAAGCUAAUCUCUUAAAGCCAUUCUCAGUUCGGAUUGUAGGCUGCAACUCGCCUACAUGAAGUCGGAAUCGCUAGUAAUCGCGGAUCAGCAUGCCGCGGUGAAUACGUUCCCGGGCCUU